UGGGGAAUUUUGGCAAUGGGCGAAAGCCUGAUCCAGCAAUGCCGCGUGUGUGAAGAAGGCCUUCGGGUUGUAAAGCACUUUUGUCCGGAAAGAAAUCCUUGGCUCUAAUACAGUCGGGGGAUGACGGUACCGGAAGAAUAAGCACCGGCUAACUACGUGCCAGCAGCCGCGGUAAUACGUAGGGUGCAAGCGUUAAUCGGAAUUACUGGGCGUAAAGCGUGCGCAGGCGGUUUGCUAAGACCGAUGUGAAAUCCCCGGGCUCAACCUGGGAACUGCAUUGGUGACUGGCAGGCUAGAGUAUGGCAGAGGGGGGUAGAAUUCCACGUGUAGCAGUGAAAUGCGUAGAGAUGUGGAGGAAUACCGAUGGCGAAGGCAGCCCCCUGGGCAAUACUGACGCUCAUGCACGAAAGCGUGGGGAGCAAACAGGAUUAGAUACCCUGGUAGUCCACGCCCUAAACGAUGUCAACUAGUUGUUGGGGAUUCAUUUCCUUAGUAACGUAGCUAACGCGUGAAGUUGACCGCCUGGGGAGUACGGUCGCAAGAUUAAAACUUAAAGGAAUUGACGGGGUCAUAGCUGUUUCCU
rnacentral:rRNA from 1 species